AAUGUAAAUUAAAUAAUAAAAAAAUGGCGACACUUGAAAUACCAAUAAAAAAGCUAAAAAAAUCAAAGAAAAAAGUAAGGAAAGAUUGCGUGAAAGUAUAAAAAAACAAAGAUUAGCAUUGCAUAAAACAGGGCUUGAAUGUAACUGUAUAAGGCUGAAAUGCUUAAAAAAGAAGAUAGAAAAGUGUUAAUAAGUUAUUUUAACUCUCUAUCCAGCAAGGAUGAUCAAGAUUCGUAUCUUGCAAGUUUAAUAACUUUAAAUAACGUUUCAAGAAGAAAACCACCAAAUAUUAAUUCAAAAAGUUAUAAUAGCAGUUACAAAUGUAAACAUUUUAUUACAAAUCACGAGACUCUUACGUGUUCGUUUAUUUAUUUUGCUUUUCUGCGAGAUUAGAGACCAUUAAAAGAAGCCUUUUAACUAAAGGUCACUCUCCCCAUGAUAGAAGAGGUAAACACAAGAAUCAGUAUAACAAUUUUACUCCUCAACUAAAAAAAUAAAAUAUGUGAUCACAUUUCUUCUUUCAGAGGUUGAUACCAAGAUCUAUUAAUUAUAACCAAGAUGUAAGACUUGUUUAAAAUCAAGUAUGGAAAUGAUAAAUUGUCAUAUAAAUCUUAUCGCAACAUAUUUAACAAAAGUUUUAACAUUUCUUUUGGGUACCCUAGGACUGACACGUUCUAAAUGCGAUGAGUUUAAAAUUAAAAUUGAUGAAAUAAAAAUUGAACUAUCUUUUAAUUCAGAAUUUACAAAGCUUGAACAACAAUUGCAUGAGCUUGAGUUACAGAAAGAACAGCACCACAAAGAUGCAGAAAUAUUUUAUGUUAGGUUUCUUUUCCUCACAUAAAAUAUAUCUGCAUCUUUGUGGUGCUGUUCUUUCUGUAACUCAAGCUCAUGCAAUUGUUGUUCAAGCUUGGUUUAAAGCACAAAGGGAGUACAAAUUUGAGGCAAGUUUAUUUUUUUUGUUAUGAUGAAACUAUAACUAAAAAAGUGGCUGAUGAAGUAACUUCGAUGAUUUUUUUAUAAAACAUUUAGACAAAGAAAUUUGAUCUGUAGAGCUAUUUUGUGAUUCAUGUGCUGGCUAAAACAAAAACUAUACAUUAAUUCGUUUUAUGGACUUUCUUGUUCAUGAAAACAAAAAGCUUGACUUUAUUAAAGUUACAUUUCCAAAACGUGGUCAUUCUGUUAUGGAAUGUGAUAAAGAUAUGGGAUUAAUUAAUUGCAAAACACCCACUAGUGGUCCAUCAGAUUGGAUUAAAACAUUCAAAAAUGCUCGUAAAAAACCCACUCUGUUUCAUGUUAUAGAAUUAACGCAAGGUAUGGUUGAAAGUAUAACUGAUUUUAUGAGACCAUUUUAUAAGAAUAAAUGUCCAAUUCCAACUUGUCCUCUUUGUAUAAUUUGUUUCAGAGGAGACUCAAAUGGCAUUGUAUUUCAUCGUGAUUCGUGGAAUGGAUUAUUGUUGAAAACUAAUUAAAAAAAUAAUAGGAAGAACACUAUAAAUAGUGAAAUCUCCAUUCUGUAUAAUGCAAAACUUUGCAUCUCUAUGGCAAAGUACAGAGAUUUACAAGUAUUAAAAAGGUUUACAUCCAAUGCUCAGGUUUACGAUUCUUUGCCAUACAAUCAGGAGGUUAUCGAGACAUUUCAUGAAAAUAUUGAUUCUGAAGAUGAAGAGUAAAUAGACUUCUUUUUUUAUUUAAAUUUUGUUUUUAAUUGUUUUUGUCUUAGUGUUUCUUGACAAAUUUAUAAUCUUUAA